CAGUCGCCGCGGUAAUACGAAGGGGGCUAGCGUUGUUCGGAUUUACUGGGCGUAAAGCGCACGUAGGCGGACUUUUAAGUCAGGGGUGAAAUCCCGGGGCUCAACCCCGGAACUGCCUUUGAUACUGGAAGUCUUGAGUAUGGUAGAGGUGAGUGGAAUUCCGAGUGUAGAGGUGAAAUUCGUAGAUAUUCGGAGGAACACCAGUGGCGAAGGCGGCUCACUGGACCAUUACUGACGCUGAGGUGCGAAAGCGUGGGGAGCAAACAGGAUUAGAUACCCGAGUAGUCCCUGUCUCUUAUAC
rnacentral:rRNA from 1 species